ACUAAUGUUGAAAAAUUAGCGGAUGACCUGUGGCUGGGGGUGAAAGGCCAAUCAAACCGGGAGAUAGCUGGUUCUCCCCGAAAGCUAUUUAGGUAGCGCCUCGUGAAUUCAUCUCCGGGGGUAGAGCACUGUUUCGGCUAGGGGGCCAUCCCGGCUUACCAACCCGAUGCAAACUGCGAAUACCGGAGAAUGUUAUCACGGGAGACACACGGCGGGUGCUAACGUCCGUCGUGAAGAGGGAAACAACCCAGACCGCCAGCUAAGGUCCCAAAGUCAUGGUUAAGUGGGAAACGAUGUGGGAAGGCCCAGACAGCCAGGAUGUUGGCUUAGAAGCAGCCAUCAUUUAAAGAAAGCGUAAUAGCUCACUGGUCGAGUCGGCCUGCGCGGAAGAUGUAACGGGGCUAAACCAUGCACCGAAGCUGCGGCAGCGAACGUAUCACUUAAAGCGAUUCAGCGGGUUACGAUUGACGGAGCGAAGCGACGUCAAAGCGUAUACAAAGUCGAGUCGGUUUAAGGAUACGUUCGUUGGGUAGGGGAGCGUUCUGUAAGCCUGUGAAGGUGGCCUGUGAGGGUUGCUGGAGGUAUCAGAAGUGCGAAUGCUGACAUAAGUAACGAUAAAGCGGGUGAAAAGCCCGCUCGCCGGAAGACCAAGGGUUCCUGUCCAACGUUAAUCGGGGCAGGGUGAGUCGACCCCUAAGGCGAGGCCGAAAGGCGUAGUCGAUGGGAAACGGGUUAAUAUUCCCGUACUUGGUGUUACUGCGAAGGGGGGACGGAGAAGGCUAUGUUGGCCGGGCGACGGUUGUCCCGGUUUAAGCGUGUAGGCUGGUUUUCCAGGCAAAUCCGGAAAAUCAAGGCUGAGGCGUGAUGACGAGGCACUACGGUGCUGAAGCAACAAAUGCCCUGCUUCCAGGAAAAGCCUCUAAGCAUCAGGUAACAUCAAA
rnacentral:rRNA from 1 species